CAUAGUGAGAAUCCUGCAGAGAUGCGGGAGUGCCUUCGGGAAUUCACAUACAGGUGCUGCAUGGCUUGUCGUCAGCUCGUGUCGUGAGAUGUUGGGUUAAGUCCCGCAACGAGCGCAACCCUUUUCCUUAUUUGCCAGCGGGUUAAGCCGGGAACUUUAAGGAUACUGCCAGUGACAAACUGGAGGAAGGCGGGGACGACGUCAAGUCAUCAUGGCCCCUACGACCAGGGCUACACACGUGCUACAAUGGUAGGUGCAGAGGGUUGCUACACAGCGAUGUGAUGCUAAUCUCAAAAAGCCUAUCGUAGUCCGGAUUGGAGUCUGCAACUCGACUCCAUGAAGUCGG
rnacentral:rRNA from 1 species